rnacentral:rRNA from 1 species
UAAUACGGAGGGUGCAAGCGUUACUCGGAAUCACUGGGCGUAAAGGACACGUAGGCGGGUUGGAAAGUCAGAUGUGAAAUCCUACAGCUUAACUGUAGAACUGCAUUUGAAACUUCCAACCUAGAGUAUGGGAGGGGGAGAUGGAAUUAGUGGUGUAGGGGUAAAAUCCGUAGAUAUCACUAGGAAUACCCAAAGCGAAGGCGAUCUCCUGGAACAUUACUAACGCUAAGGUGUGAAAGCGUGGGGAGCAAACGGGAUUAGAUACCCCGGUAGUCCACGCCCUAAACGAUGAACACUAGUCGUCGGGAAGCUUGUCUUCUCGGUGAUGCACUUAACAGAUUAAGUGUUCCGCCUGGGGAGUACGGUCGCAAGAUUA